GGCUCAAUGGUCUAGUAGCAUGAUUCCUGCUUCGGGUGUUAAAGCCAAUGCUUAAUCGAGUAAGCAUUCAUUUGCAGGAGGUCCCGGGUUCAAUUCCCGGUUGAGCCC